UGGCGAACGGGUGAGUAAUACAUCGGAACAUGUCCUGUAGUGGGGGAUAGCCCGGCGAAAGCCGGAUUAAUACCGCAUACGAUCUACGGAUGAAAGCGGGGGACCUUCGGGCCUCGCGCUAUAGGGUUGGCCGAUGGCUGAUUAGCUAGUUGGUGGGGUAAAGGCCUACCAAGGCGACGAUCAGUAGCUGGUCUGAGAGGACGACCAGCCACACUGGGACUGAGACACGGCCCAGACUCCUACGGGAGGCAGCAGUGGGGAAUUUUGGACAAUGGGCGAAAGCCUGAUCCAGCAAUGCCGCGUGUGUGAAGAAGGCCUUCGGGUUGUAAAGCACUUUUGUCCGGAAAGAAAUCCUUGGUUCUAAUAUAGCCGGGGGAUGACGGUACCGGAAGAAUAAGCACCGGCUAACUACGUGCCAGCAGCCGCGGUAAUACGUAGGGUGCGAGCGUUAAUCGGAAUUACUGGGCGUAAAGCGUGCGCAGGCGGUUUGCUAAGACCGAUGUGAAAUCCCCGGGCUCACCCUGGGAACUGCAUUGGUGACUGGCAGGCUAGAGUAUGGCAGAGGGGGGUAGAAUUCCACGUGUAGCAGUGAAAUGCGUAGAGAUGUGGAGGAAUACCGAUGGCGAAGGCAG
rnacentral:rRNA from 1 species